AACGAACGCUGGCGGCAGGCUUAACACAUGCAAGUCGAACGCUCGUAGCAAUACGGGAGUGGCGGACGGGUGAGUAACGCGUGGGAACGUGCCCUGAGGUACGGAAUAACUGCGGGAAACUGCAGCUAAUACCGUAUGAGCCCCGCAAGGGGGAAAGAUUUAUCGCCUUGGGAGCGGCCCGCGUCGGAUUAGCUAGUUGGUGGGGUAACGGCCUACCAAGGCUUCGAUCCGUAGCUGGUCUGAGAGGACGAUCAGCCACACUGGGACUGAGACACGGCCCAGACUCCUACGGGAGGCAGCAGUGGGGAAUCUUGCGCAAUGGGGGGCAACCCUGACGCAGCCAUGCCGCGUGAAUGAUGAAGGCCUUAGGGUUGUAAAGCUCUUUUGUCCGGAAAGAAAAGCAAUCGGUUAAUACCCGGUUGUUCUGACGGUACCGGAGAAUAAGCACCGGCUAACUUCGUGCCAGCAGCCGCGGUAAGGUAGAUGAGU
rnacentral:rRNA from 1 species